rnacentral:rRNA from 1 species
UACAGAGGGGGCAAGCGUUGUUCGGAAUUACUGGGCGUAAAGGGCGCGUAGGCGGCCUUCUAAGUCGAACGUGAAAUCCCCGGGCUCAACCCGGGAACUGCGUCCGAUACUGGAAGGCUUGAAUCCGGGAGAGGGAUGCGGAAUUCCAGGUGUAGCGGUGGAAUGCGUAGAGAUCCGGAAGAACACCGGAGGCGAAGGCGGCUUGCUGGGCGUAGUCUGACGCUGAGGCGCGAAAGCGUGGGGAGCGAACAGG